UCUCCUUGAACUCAUCACAUCAGAUGAUGAUGAUGCUCUCCUUCAUCAUUGUCCUGCUCUGGUACUUUGUGAUGUUCCCCCUCUGGCAGGUCCAGGAUUUUGGUCUAUGCUUAUGUCUGCCAAUAUAUCCCUUAUACUUAAAAAGGGUAAGCUACCUGAAGAUUGUGCCUCCUACAGGCCAAUCUCUUUGUUGAAUGUGGAUCUGAAAAUCCUCUUCAAGAUAUUAGCAAAACGUCUGGAACUUUUACUCCCCUCGCUUAUUAAUGAGGACCAAACGGGUUUCAUUAAAGUUCGCAAUUCAUAUAAUAACAUGCGUAGGUUGUUGAAUAUGAUCCAGUUCUUCCAACAAAAAUCUCUGCCUGGUGUGGUAAUUUCCCUUGAUGCCGAGAAGGCAUUUGACCGUGUUGAAUGGUCUCACCUGUUUUUUACACUACACCAAUUCGGUUUCAGUGGAAACUUUAUAAACUGGAUUAAGCUACUUUAUAACAAUCCCUGCUCUGCAGUCCUCACAAACGGGGUGCGGUCCUCCAACUUUUGGAUACAGAAGGGAACUAGACAAGGCUGCCCCCUCUCCCCUUUGCUCUUUGCCUUAGCCAUAGAACCAUUGGCAGAAGCAGUACGAGUUCAGGCGGAUAUACAUGGUCUAUCUGUAGGACAAAGACAGUGUAACCCAUGGUUAUUUCAUUGCAAAUGGUAUUCUAUUUUCAUUCUAAUUUUAAGUGUUACUGUUUUGUUAAGUGUUGAGUUUUCCCAUGUACCGUGAAUGCACCAUAGCGCUGUGCGUGGUGACUUUCUUUCACUGCAUCCGCCUGCACGGAGCUAGAUGCGCAAAGCUGUGUGGAGAUUCAGUUCUGUAACGUGUUGCGCUACGGAAUUAAUGUUUUCUUUGAAGAAUAUCCUGAAAUCUGCUGCAAGGACCGAGCGGUGCCAUCUAAGGACUGGAUGCCACUGGAGGUGCCUAGAAAGGACGUUCUCAAUCUGAAGGCCACCUGUUUCCUUGGAGGGUGGUAGGAUACAACGAUUUACAGUUUUUUUAAGGAUUAAAGUUUUUUUACUGAGAUCUCAGGACGCUUUAUGUUGUUACUUUUUUCCUUUUUUGGGUCAGAUCUGAUUCCACUUAACACAAAAAACGGAUGCAUCUAAAAGCAAAACUGUGACUAAAGACAAUUAACACUUACUAAAAA